GUUGGAGGCACAGAGAGGUGAUGCAUGGGACAGAAAUCCCCCAUUGUCAGUGAGUACUGUGACCAGGCACUGAUGCACAGUGCUGAUAGUGGCUGCCCAGGAAGUUAUUGCAGGGUUUUAAUGUGGUAGGACACAUCUCUUGAUCCCAAAAGCCUGCAGGAUUUGGAGAAGAGAAGGCUCCGGGGAGACCUCAUUGUGGCCUCCCAAUACCUUGAAGGGAGUGUAUGAACAGGAGGGGAACAGCUGUUUAUGAGGGUGGGUAGCGAUAGGACAAGGGGGAAUGGUUUUAAACUGAGACAGGGGAGGUUUAGGUUGGAGAUGAGGAGGAAGUUUUUCCCCCAGAGGGUGGUGACGCACUGAACAGGUUGCCCAAGGAGGCUGUGGAUGCCCCAUCCCUGCAGGCAUUCAAGGCCAGGCUGGAUGUGGCUCUGGGCAGCCUGGGCUGCUGGUUGG
rnacentral:lncRNA from 1 species